rnacentral:rRNA from 1 species
UAUUGUGCAAAGGGGGCAACCCUGAUCCAGCCAUGCCGCGUGAGUGAAGAAGGUCUACGGAUUGUAAAGCACUUUAAGUUGGGAGGAAGGGCUUUAGGUAAAUACCCUGAAGUAUUGACGUUACAAACAGAAUAAGCACCGGCUAACUCUGUGACAGCAGCCGCGGUAAUACAGAGGGUGCAAGCGUUAAUCGGAAUUACUGGGCGUAAAGCGCGCGUAGGUGGUUCAGUAAGAUGGGUGUGAAAUCCCCGGGCUUAACCUGGGAACUGCUUUCAUAACUGCUGAGCUAGAGUACGGUAGAGGGUAGUGGAAUUUCCUGUGUAGCGGUGAAAUGCGUAGAUAUAGGAAGGAACACCAGUGGCGAAGGCGACUACCUGGACUGAUACUGACACUGAGGUGCGAAAGCGUGGGGAGCAAAC